rnacentral:rRNA from 1 species
GACGAACGCUGGCGGCGUGCUUAACACAUGCAAGUCGAGCGGAAAGGCCACUUCGGUGGUACUCGAGCGGCGAACGGGUGAGUAACACGUGGGUAAUCUGCCCCUGGCUUUGGGAUAGCCACCGGAAACGGUGAUUAAUACCGGAUAUGACCACUUCACGCAUGUGUUGUGGUGGAAAGUUUUUCGGCCAGGGAUGUGCUCGCGGCCUAUCAGCUUGAUGGUGAGGUAAUGGCUCACCAUGGCUUCGACGGGUAGCCGGCCUGAGAGGGUGACCGGGCACACUGGGACUGAGACACGGCCCAGACUCCUACGGGAGGCAGCAGUGGGGAAUAUUGGACAAUGGGCGGAAGCCUGAUCCAGCAACGCCGCGUGAGGGAUGACGGCCUUCGGGUUGUAAACCUCUUUCAGUACCGACGAAGCGUAAGUGACGGUAGGUACAGAAGAAGCACCGGCCAACUACGUGCCAGCCGCCGCCGUAAAAC